rnacentral:rRNA from 1 species
GCUAAUACAUGCAAGUCGAGCGAACAGACGAGGAGCUUGCUCCUUUGACGUUAGCGGCGGACGGGUGAGUAACACGUAGGUAACCUACCUAUAAGACUGGGAUAACUUCGGGAAACCGGAGCUAAUACCGGAUAAUAUUUCGAACCGCAUGGUUCGAUAGUGAAAGAUGGCUUUGCUAUCACUUAUAGAUGGACCUGCGCCGUAUUAGCUAGUUGGUAAGGUAACGGCUUACCAAGGCAACGAUACGUAGCCGACCUGAGAGGGUGAUCGGCCACACUGGAACUGAGACACGGUCCAGACUCCUACGGGAGGCAGCAGUAGGGAAUCUUCCGCAAUGGGCGAAAGCCUGACGGAGCAACGCCGCGUGAGUGAUGAAGGUCUUCGGAUCGUAAAACUCUGUUAUUAGGGAAGAACAAACGUGUAAGUAACUGUGCACGUCUUGACGGUACCUAAUCAGAAAGCCACGGCUAACUACGUGCCAGCAGCCGGGGGUUAA